rnacentral:misc_RNA from 1 species
CGGUAGAGAUGGACACAUGCU